AGGAUAAUAGUUAAGUAUAACAUUUAAAUUGCAUUUAAAAAGUAUUGAUUCAAUUUAUCUU
rnacentral:tRNA from 1 species